AAAGGAGAACUUGGGCUUGGGUUGUUGCAGGAAGAAAGAGAGAGAGAGAGAGCACAAAGAGAUAAGACUUGGGUGAAGAGCCUCAUGCUAAUUCCCCCUAAUAAUCCCUAAAAGAGUUUUCACGCUUUUCCGUCCACUCUGCCUGCUCCGCCCUCUCAACCGUGGACAAAGUCGUCAAACCACUCUGUGCCACCUAACCAGAUCAUGCAUCUUAAGAGCCGCUAUGGUUCAGUUUGGAAAUGACAAGAGAGAGAAACGGGGCCAGCCGGCGCAACUCAAGAAACACUCCAGAGAAUGUUCAUCUCCAGAAGAAUAGAGGCUGAAGGAAAAUCAGAUGAUGGUUGGAUUUGGAGAAAAAAAAUCCAGCUACUGGUUAAGAUGAAACUGUUCUGGACCCAAGGCUCAGUCUGGAGCCUCUGGUCCAGGAUUUUGGAGGGCAAGAAAAGAAAAUUUGGUGGGGAGGAGGAGGGAUUUUUCCUGGUGCCAAAUUCUUGAAAAACUUAGCCUCAUGUAAAGCAGCCUCUCCUCCUCAAAGGACAACGAUGGCUCUCCCUCCUUGGGUCUUCAAGGCCCAAGGGGUGAGGAGGGAGAGAGUAGCUUCAGGCCAAACUCUCCUAUUUGAUCCAUCAUCUCCCAUCCUGGCUACUCUGGUGUUUGUGUUGGGGUCGG